CACUGGGUGAGCUGGUUCCGUCUGCCACACAAUUCCACCAUGAUGUUCUGCCUCACCUUGAUGCUUGAGGAAUAGUGCCAGCCUUCUGUGGACUAAGACUUCUGAAACUUCACAAUGAAAGUACCUCUGCUUCACCACCCUUCUCUGCCAUGACGCUCUGGUUUACCACAGGCCCACAGCAACAGAGCCAGCCAACCACGGACUAAAACUUCUGAAACCAUGAGUUGAAAGAUAUAUUUCCUCCUAAAAGGUCUACAGCAACCUCUUUUGGGGGUUCUGAUAGAAGUCAUUAGAGUCUCUCAUCUCCACCACAGUAUCCCAGGAGACAGCAUCUUAUUUCUUGGAUCCAGGAACUGCAAGACUUGUCACAGGACCAUGGGGCAGGGUCUGGCACAAGGAAGGAUGUCCGCAAAGACACAGAUGAGGCUACUGUCUAUCCCGGAUGUGGCAUCAGGAUAAUUUAACCACCUCUAAGUGACUUUCUAUGCAGC